UGGCCUAUACAAAUUCCGUUUAUUACAGUACAGCUUGGACGCGAAUGAAGUAUACCAGAUUGUAUGAACAAAAACAGCUAAGAGAUGAUGGGUACUUGAAAAGAAUCUCAUUUUCUACACAUUCAAAGCUUGCAUUUCCAGGUUACGAUAGAAACUCCACAGAUUAGAGGGAAGCUUUACUUUUACUUUUUUUCUUUCUUUCUUUUGUUGUUGUUUUCUUCUGUACCUGAAGAGUUGAGGAUGGUGUGUAUGCAUGAUACAUGUCUUGCUCCCUUCACAAAAUGGUGCAUGUGCAUAUAACCGCCUUGGGUGCUUUAUCGACCUUCUUCUCUGUUCAAUCAAAACAGUUGUUUAACUGUUAGUUAGAAUUCCUCAACAUUGUCUUAGAAAUCACAGCCUUAGUUUCAAUCACAUGAUCAAAGUUUGUGUAGGUACUAUGGUUGAAAAACAUUUUUGAGCCAUUCUCUAGAGGUUUGAAUAAACAAACUAAACACACGAUAUAUUUACUAUUUAAACUAAUCCUAGUCACAAAACAAACAAUGCAUUUACUAUCUAUACUGACCCUAGUCACUGAUGUACACUUCUUAUCAGUCUUAAUGUAUGAGGCAUAUGAGACAGAAAACGAAUAUAAAAAUCAAUAAAAGUGACAAAAUAAAUAACACAAGAAGUCUGACAUAAUAUGCUGGAAGCUCCUCUAAGCAAACAAAGAUCUCCAUGAAGAAACAAAAAAAAAGAGAAAAUACUUGACCUGAUUUAGUUUUUGCUGGAGAAGGCUGUACAACAACAUGCAUCACAGUGACUCCACCGGCAGUCUCUCCAAAUGGUGUCUUACACUGGGCAACAGUCUUGUUGUUCUCCAAGAUCUUACCCGAACCAAUCAGCUUUACUUCGUUUAUCCCCUUUGGAACAACUGUUUUGCCUACACAAAAAAAAAGGAGCAUUAAAACGAAAUUGAUCACCACACCAUAAUUCAUAUAAAAGACUUCGUCUUUUUUAUUCUUAAUCAUCAGUUGGUGUUUGUAACUUCAUUCAAGUGAACUAAUAUAACCAUUCUACAGCUCUAAAUCUCACACCUUUAUACCGACAAAUAGCAAAAUUCAGGGAGAGUCAACACGAAUUUCGAAUUUUUUUUUGUAAGAAAGAUGGAAGCUAUAACAAACCUUUGGGCCAAUCAGAGACGACCCUUUGCUUCAAAAAAUCAACAGUAGACGCGGCUGAAUAGCGAAAGGGUCCGAUGUCGGAGCCAUCGUAGAGCCUGAAUUUGAUAUCUAUCGACUCCUCCUCCGGCAUCUCCGUUGACUUCUCGAAGACCUCCAAAAACCCAUCGUCAAUAUAAUGAGCAGUCAGACAUAUGUAACCCCUAACUUGGCUACGACUCGUCCAUAGAUCAGAAGUGAAACUCAUUCUACCCUGGUAACUUGCAAACAUUUCUUUCAGCUUAAGCUUCUCUAUUUCAUAUCUCUUGUACACCUCCCUACUUGCGGUUUGUCUACACAUAUGCUCACACUCUGGAUUAAGAUACUUAUCUCUCUCUCUAACCUUUUCAUACUCCACAUAACGAAAAGGAAGAUCAUGAUAAAUAAUAAUCUCAGACACCAUUUCCUUAUCAACUUUGGGAUCAUAUUCAACGACUUUGGUUUCUGGUUUUUCUGGACAAGAGCGUGAAUGGCGGUUCAUUGUUGAAGUUCCAUGAUUCCUAUCUAUGACUAACUUAAUACCGCAGUAGUGACACUUAGCCCUUUCUUUACCAUCAGACGCUACGCCUACCGAUGUAAAGUGUAGCCAACACUUAGAAGUUUUUUUACGUACUUGUGUAGGCCGUUUAGCUCUUGGAGCUCGUGGAGCUAGUGAAGAUCGUGAAGCUCGUGAAGCUUGUGGAGCUCGUGGAGAUCGUGAAGCUUGUGGAGCUCGUGGGGAUCAUGGAGAUCGUGUGUAUCUCUUUGGACGUUGAGUAUGUGUUGACUGAGCAGGUUCAUUGACACUAAGAUCAUGUUCCUCUUCUUGGGAGUCUUCAUCUUCAUUAUACUCCAAGUCCAUCAAUUCGUUUUCUGCCUCAAGAACUGCCAUUCUUUGUAUUGUUUGUGAGUCCAUGCUGCAGCCUGCAACAAAAGAUAAACAAACAGUCAAUCAGGGAAGUUCAAACAAAGCUACAAACUGUUUCAAACAAGUGCUUAGUUGACUAACAUCAAGUUCACAAAAUACAAUCUCAAUUCUACAAACCCACCCUAGAGAUCGAUUUCAGCAAACCCACAAAAAAGCUAAGCCAUUAAGCUUUAAAAAGCCAUUAAACAAGUGACAAAGUGUUGACAAACAGCAAGUUCACACACGCAAACAUUCAAAUGGGUUCUUUGAAGCAAAAACUAAGAGAACACGCUAGUCACACGCAAACUGAGAGAACACAAGCAAGAUCUUCAGUUCUUUAACUUACACGUAUGAUACAAAGCAAGAAAGGGACUAAACACAAUCAUUACAUGGCUAAUAAGAACAAACCCACAAAUCUCAAUUCUACAACAAUCCAUCAGUUCAAAAAGCUUUAUUUCAACAAACCCACAAACUCUAGAGAUCGAAAGAUGUGAUGACUUACAAAUAUUGAAAAUGUUCGAGCUUCCCAAUAGCUUUUCUAAAACGGAUUGAUCCUCCUAAGCAGCCUGCAAUAAACGGAAAGGUCACACGAUUUAUGAAUUAUGAUGACUCUAGAGAUCGAUUUCAACAAACCCAGAACAAAACUAGAAGAACAUACCCGACGAAGCUCUUCGAAAUCGAUCUCUAGGGUUUGUUGAAAUCGAUCCAGGACCAGGAGCAGCAGAGCUUGAUGAGGACGUACGAGAUCACGAUCAAGAGCUCGAAUCGGAAUCCGCAGAGAAGCAGUCGAGCAUCGAUUCGUUGACUGGUUUCUCUUUCUCGUUUCUGAGAUGGUGAGAAGAAAAAUGGAAACGACGAUGUUUCUCUGUUUGCUGCAAAAAAAAUUAACCCUAAUAAAAUCCAAAUACCAAAGAUAAGCGGCCCUAUUUUGGCCCGGAUAGUAAAGUGCGGGUUUAGGGCUAAUAUUUUUAAUGCGGGCUGGGCUAACCCUUUUCCUAGAAGCCCAUUUUAACAUCCCUGUAUAUGAUUCUCAUUUCUCACAUUCUGUGACUUGCUACAAGUUCCUCCCUCCUUACCCUGGAAGCACCUAAUUGUAUAACACCUAAUGAAAAUAUCAAAAAUAUUGCCUCGCUAAUUUUGCAAAACACCUAACGAACUUCAAAAUUGUACAAACACAUGAAAUUCAAAAUGUUUUUUUUUUCAUCGCCUGGUUUGAACUUUAUUUUCCCCUUGAAGACCAAAAUUCAAUUCUAUUUCAUUUUUGCAUUUUUGUCCACGAUUGUACUCAAAUGGAAUCUGUCUUGUAUAUAGGGGUGUGGAAGGAAUAAAGGCACAACAUAUUUUUUCUUUCAUAGAUACAUAAUUAGUUAUCUUCAUCACAAUUCACACGGUAAUCAUUCAGAGCUAGUGGCCUAUACAAAUUCCGUUUAUUACAGUACAGCUUGGACGCGAAUGAAGUAUACCAGAUUGUAUGAACAAAAACAGCUAAGAGAUGAUGGGUACUUGAAAAGAAUCUCAUUUUCUACACAUUCAAAGCUUGCAUUUCCAGGUUACGAUAGAAACUCCACAGAUUAGAGGGAAGCUUUACUUUUACUUUUUUUCUUUCUUUCUUUUGUUGUUGUUUUCUUCUGUACCUGAAGAGUUGAGGAUGGUGUGUAUGCAUGAUACAUGUCUUGCUCCCUUCACAAAAUGGUGCAUGUGCAUAUAACCGCCUUGGGUGCUUUAUCGACCUUCUUCUCUGUUCAAUCAAAACAGUUGUUUAACUGUUAGUUAGAAUUCCUCAACAUUGUCUUAGAAAUCACAGCCUUAGUUUCAAUCACAUGAUCAAAGUUUGUGUAGGUACUAUGGUUGAAAAACAUUUUUGAGCCAUUCUCUAGAGGUUUGAAUAAACAAACUAAACACACGAUAUAUUUACUAUUUAAACUAAUCCUAGUCACAAAACAAACAAUGCAUUUACUAUCUAUACUGACCCUAGUCACUGAUGUACACUUCUUAUCAGUCUUAAUGUAUGAGGCAUAUGAGACAGAAAACGAAUAUAAAAAUCAAUAAAAGUGACAAAAUAAAUAACACAAGAAGUCUGACAUAAUAUGCUGGAAGCUCCUCUAAGCAAACAAAGAUCUCCAUGAAGAAACAAAAAAAAAGAGAAAAUACUUGACCUGAUUUAGUUUUUGCUGGAGAAGGCUGUACAACAACAUGCAUCACAGUGACUCCACCGGCAGUCUCUCCAAAUGGUGUCUUACACUGGGCAACAGUCUUGUUGUUCUCCAAGAUCUUACCCGAACCAAUCAGCUUUACUUCGUUUAUCCCCUUUGGAACAACUGUUUUGCCUACACAAAAAAAAAGGAGCAUUAAAACGAAAUUGAUCACCACACCAUAAUUCAUAUAAAAGACUUCGUCUUUUUUAUUCUUAAUCAUCAGUUGGUGUUUGUAACUUCAUUCAAGUGAACUAAUAUAACCAUUCUACAGCUCUAAAUCUCACACCUUUAUACCGACAAAUAGCAAAAUUCAGGGAGAGUCAACACGAAUUUCGAAUUUUUUUUUGUAAGAAAGAUGGAAGCUAUAACAAACCUUUGGGCCAAUCAGAGACGACCCUUUGCUUCAAAAAAUCAACAGUAGACGCGGCUGAAUAGCGAAAGGGUCCGAUGUCGGAGCCAUCGUAGAGCCUGAAUUUGAUAUCUAUCGACUCCUCCUCCGGCAUCUCCGUUGACUUCUCGAAGACCUCCAAAAACCCAACUCCCGAUUCUCAGAAAAACCAGACUUCAACACAACUCUCUUCAGAUCUGAAACAGUUCCAAUCAAAAAGUAGAAUCAGAGCUUGCUUCGACAAGGAUAGAAACAUAAAAGUAAAAGAGAAUCAGGGGAAAUCGGAAUACAGAACAGUAGCUCUCUCUCUCUCUCUCUCUCUAUCGAUUUCGCGUUGGGAUCGUUGAAAAAGCGGAAGAAGGAAGGAGAAAAGAAAAGCUGCUCAAGAGUCGGAGUCCACCGAAUCUCAAGCCCCCAACGGUUUUUCACUUUUCUUCUUUUUCUCUUUUCGUCUAAUUCUCCAUCAAACCGACAUCGUUUUGUUCUCUCUUUUUAAUUAAUCGUGGUGAAAACGGUCAUCGAGUGUUCCCACCUUCUUGACGGUUAAACUUAAAAUGUUCCCACCGUAUUUUCUUGUAGAACAUUAGCCCCAUUAAGUCAUUAACUAACAUUUAAAGUGUUCCCACCUUUUUUUUUCUUAUAGAGAAAAUGAUUGACAAAUGGGUUUUAUUUGACAUGAAAUUCACAUUUUACCUAUUUAUAUGUUUAUGCUUUGUACUCAUAUAAGUUUCUUAUCUUUGUCAAGUGAGAUAAUAAGAGGAAAAUUGCAAUUAAGAAGGUUCAUAUUUUAGAGUUUCAUUUUUUUUAACGGCUUUUAUAUUUUUUUUUUAAACAUACAAUGCAAGAAAACUAAAAAAAAGGAAUAAACCAGAAGAAGUGAUCAGCCGUCGCCAAAUGUAAUCCGUCGAAACCUUCCUACGAAAAGAUGGCACGUCGACGGUGGUUUAUCGCACGAACUGAGAUACCGAAGAAAGAUACUUCGGACGAUGGAUAUACUUCCAUCUGGAAGGAGAACAAAAAUGCAAAGGAGCGCCGAAGUACCGGACAUGACAACAAAGCACCACUGAAAAGAGGAAACCUGGAAAAAUUAAGAAGACCACUAGAUCUAGACGGUAUCCUAGUUCAGAACAUAAGCUUGUAUUGACCAAAAUCGCACUCCACGAUCCACUCGCUUUCACGAAGCAGACAUGGAAGCCAAUAGAUGAAAACCACCAGAGUUCAAUAUCUAAGGCAAACGACCCCUUCACGUAAAGACCCCACUCCAACGAUACUCGAACCACCUCGCCGUUUCUCCAUAAAACACUUCAACACCGUGGACCUAGAGGGGAAGAACCGAAGAGAGAUUGGGGUCCACUCGCCAGAUCCGAACUUCUCAUAUCUGAACUUGAAGCUAUAGCUUCCGGCCAUUCCUCCAAAUUACCACGUCAGAAACCAUCGCCGCCGCGAGAAUUUUCACCCUACAAACCACUGCUUAAAGCUUUAGGGCCUCAACAUGAGGCAAGGCAUAAAGCGGAGGAGAAGAGACGCAUAAAGAGUGCCUUCUCACGGCAGAGACGGUUGAGACCGGCCGCCGAAAAGACAAAUCAAAUUUCGCCGGAAAUUGCUUAGAGAGAGAAGUGCAGAAAGGAGAGAAGAAAGAGUUCCAGCAUCUUUCGACCUUCACAUAAAUGUUUAGACUAAUUUGAAGUGUAACUAAAGAAAUUAUAAAAUUCUUAUUACUUUGUUAACUUAUUUAUAUGGAUUAUAAAAACAUAUAUAAAAUGAGCUGGAAAUACUCUAAAAUACAAACUGAUCAGUUUAAAAAAAAUGAUUAGAGUGGUCAUUUAAUUUCGUGAUAUUACUAUCACCAUGAUUACGAAUAUAUACUUUUUAAUUGAAAGAAAUAUAUACUUUCGAUUACUAAAAGACUCUCAGGGAAAGCCGCCUGAGAGAGUGAUGAAGAAGUUAUGGUUUGUUGGAGAGAAUGAUUGGUGUUUGAGAUUUUGGUGAAGGUGAACGUUAAGAAAUGGGAUGUACCUUCAGGAGCAGCGGACUGAGAUGAAGGAGGAAGCCAAACAUGAGUGAUUCCAGAGUUGCUAAGGUCUUCGAUUGAGUUGAGUAAAGAAUUGUAGAACCCUCCUUCUUGCAUCCAUGAUUCCCAUUUGAAACUCUUGUCACAAAAACCAUAUUUAAAUCAUCAAACACAAAAAACUGUAUAAAAGAGUGUAUACUACUUUUAGUAUAUGUAUAUAUACUUAUCUGAAACAACACUGUGGAAACCGUGAAGGUUGGGAAGAAGAUGAAGAGAAAAGAGAGAAGAGAAGACAAGAGUAACGUUGCGCUUAGAUUUCGACUUAUAGAAGAAGCUGAAAUCUACGUCCUCAGUUGUUACCUCUAAUUGAUGAUUAUUGUAUUUAAAUCUAGUGUUCUUGAAACACUAUUUGUUUGAUGUAAUCCAAAAUACAAGGAAAUCACCUUUUUUUUUGUUCACUACAAGGAAAUCACUAGUUAUUCAAAAUCGUUAUACUUUUUCAGUUUUUUUUGUAUGAUCGAUUAAACCACUACUAAACCAAAUCAGAGGCAGUGGUAUUAUCAGAUUAAGUAAUUUCAGAAAAUGUAACAAGGAAAUAGAAGUAAAAUCCACGUACACUAUAACAUGUACAUUGUAAUGAGUUCUUCAAAAUCUGCUAAAACUUUCCAAAUUUAUAUGCAUUGAAAAAAGUUGAGAAAACACAACCUUUUUUGGUCCAAUCUGGUCUCCUUUCCGCAAGGUCGUUGUCACGUUUGAGACGUGGAGAUUUUACAUACGGCAUAAAUAUAUGAUUUGGGCUAUUAAAAGUGCUUGAGCCGUAACGAUACCCUUUUCUUAGCAAAAUAUAUAGCUCAAAGGCUAAAGUAGUUAAUCAUUUUUUUUUUGUUUUUUUGAAAAUUAUGCGUGAAGUAUUCGCAAAAACAAAUUUGAUUUGAUUCUUUUGGUUUGGAGUUACUCACUUCUGAUCAAGUUACUUCAUUCAUAAACUUGUUUUUGUUAUUGGCUAAUAAAAUCUAUGUGCAUAAAGUUAAUGGUAGUUUACAUGUUGAGGUUAAUGCAUUAUGUAUUAAUGAACACAAUAAGGAUUUUGACUGAAUAAUAUCUUCGUUAACCAUUCAUGAACAAUACAAAGGAGAUUAAAUAGGCUCGAGAGAACAAUCUCGAAUCCUUUGAAUACAAUAGCUGUAAAGGUAAAGUAACGUUGACGGCCAGCUCAUGACCAAAGUAACAGAGCGAAACGGUUCUGGAUAAGCUCCAGCUGAGCUCCCGUACUCGCCUCUGUUCCACAAGACGACAAACUCUGUUUUGCUGAAGACCGUUGGAAAAGAGAGACGUUUGGCUUGUCUUGGGCCUUCUCAUUUGUGUCUUGUUGGGCCUUGGAUGCUAUCACACUUACAUCCCCCCUCAAACUUGGAGUGGGAUUAACUUCCACACCAAGUUUGCUUCUAAGCAUUUCAAACGGCCUUCGCGGGAGCGACUUGGUGAAGAUGUCCGCUUUCUGUAGCUCCGCUGGAAUGUGUCUAGUCUUGAUUAACCCCAACGCAACUUGUUCACGUAUGUAGUGAUAGUCUGUGUCGAAGUGUUUCGACCGUUUGUGGAGAGCCGGAUUAGUACUUAGAUAGACAGCUGGGAGAUUGUCACACAGGAGCAACGUAGCAUGCGGCUGUGGAACUUUCAAAUCCCUGAGAAGUUGAGACAUCCACGUUAUCUCUUGAGCCGUUUCGCAGAGAGCUCUAUAUUCAGCCUCCGUUGAUGAUCUUGAGACUGUUUCUUGUCUUUUAGCUGACCAUGAAACCAGAUUAGAUCCAAGAAACGUACAGAAACCGGCUGUGGAUCUUCUGGUUUGCUGACAGCCAGCCCAGUCACUGUCACAAUAAGCAAGCAGCGACACACAUUUGUCUUUGUGAAUGUGUAGACCGAGCGUUGUUGUCCCCUUGAGAUAUCUGAGUAUGCGCUUGAGGAGACCAAAGUCUGAGACCGUUGGAGAGUGCAUACGCUGACAAACAAAGUUUACUGCAAAUUGAAUGUCCGGUCUGGUGAUGGUUAGGUAUUGAAGCUUCCCGGCUAGACAUCUGAAGUAAGUAGGUUCAGAGAAAACAGGUGAGUCUGCUUCUUCAAUUCGCUGUGGCAACGGAGUAGGCAUCGGAUUACAGUCUGUCAUAGCAGCUUCAUGCAGGAUAUCGUCAAUGUAAGCUUGCUGGUGAAGGAAUACUCCAGAUGAUAGCAUUUCCAUUUCAAUACCCAAGAAAUACUUGGGGACUCCCAUGUCCUUCAUAGAGAAGCGCUGAGAUAAGGUGUUCACCAGAAGUUGUAUGCAUUCAUCAUUGCAGCCCGUGAGUAGUAUAUCGUCAACAUAUAGGAGCAACACCAUACUGACAUUGUUGAAAUCAUAUGUGAAGAGAGACGGAUCAGAUUUGCUGCACACAAAGCCAUAGCCUAUCAGGAAGUUGCUGAAUGUAUCAAACCAAGCUCUCGGUGCUUGCUUGAGUCCGUAUAGAGCUUUGGUGAGCUUGCAGACAUAAUGAGGUCUGUUAGGAUCCACAAAGCCCUCAGGUUGAUGCAUAAACACCGGUUCUUGGAGAUCUCCAUGAAGAAAGGCACUAGAGACAUCAAGUUGUCUUAUGGGCCAGUCUUUGGCAGUAACAAUCGUAAGCAUCAGACGAAUUGUUGAUGUUUUGACUACAGGACUGAAGGUCUCUAGAUAGUCCACCCCUUUUUCUUGUUGAAAUCCUUUUGCCACCAGUCUGACUCUUCUUUUCCUCACAGUACCAUCUGGAUUUAGUUUUUUCUGUGUAGAUCCAACGACUUGUGACCACAUUCAUGUCUUCUGUUUGCGGAACCAGAGACCAAGUGUCUAGAAGAUGGAUGUUUCCCAUUUCAGUCAUCACUGCAUUGUUCCACUCUGGAUGUUUCAUGGCUUCUGUGAUGUUUUUCGGUAAGGAGCCAGAGGAUUUAGGUGCCAGUAAAGCAUACCUAGUGUUCGGCUUGUGGACUCCAGCUUUGGCUCUAGUCUGCAUAGGGUGAGAGUUAGGCACUACAACAGGUGGAGCGGGAGGAAGGACUGCAUCUAGAUCACCAGCUUCACUAUGAUCAGAUUGAUUCCCCUGAUCAUCAUUGUGCACUUCCUGUUGAACAAUAUCAGGAGCUUCUUGAGUCUGAUGUGGAGUACUGAGAAAGCGUGUGAUCUGUUCUUCUUGUACAUGAACCGGAGGAGAUGUAGCAGCUUGCCAAGCUUUCAGAAGCGGUGUCUCAUACAAGGGAACAAGAUGUUUGUAUUGAUCUUUAAAUGGAAAGCAUUCUUCAUCAAAUAUGGUGUGUCUGGAGAUAUAUACUUUUCCAGUAGGAGGAUACAAACAUCUGUAGCCUUUGUACUGAUCACUGUAACCCAAGAAAACACAUUGUAGUGAUUUGGGUUCCAGCUUGUGUGUUUGAACUGCUCUCAGACAAGGAUAGCAAGCCGAUCCAAAUACUCUGAGACUGGUGUAAUCAGGCUUGGUGUUGUAGAGAAGUUCAAAGGGACUUUUGUUGUGAAGAACCGCCGAAGGGAGAAGGUUGAUGACAUGAUUAGCAGUUGCAAAGGCUUCUACCCAAAAAUGUAGAGGUAGAUGACACUGAAACAUCAUAGAUAGACCCAGCUCGACAUGAUGUCUAUGUUUGCGUUCUGCGAGUCCAUUCUGUUCUGGCGUAUAUGGGCAGGAGAUUCUGUGAUGAAUGCCAUUGUCACACAGAUACUUCUUCAGUUGAUGAUUCACAAAUUCACCUCCACCAUCUGACUGAAACUCUUUUAUCUUGGCAUUGAACUGUUUUUCAACGAGAUUCUUGAACGCAAUAAACACUUGAUAGAAUUCAGCUUUAUUAUGAAGUGGAUAAAGCCACGAGAAUCGAGUACAAUCAUCCACAAACACAACAUAAAACCGAAAAUCUUGAUUAGAUACAAUGGGAGAGGGACCCCAGAGAUCACAAUGUAUCCUCUCCAAAGCUUUAGACACAUGAGAUUUAGACUGACUAAACUGCAACCGACUACUCUUCCCCAUCUGGCAAGGCUCACAAAUGAGGUUGGUUCUGCUCUUAUUGACUACAAUUUCCUUGCAUAACUUGAGUUGUUGAAGAACACUUGAGUUGGCAUGUCCAAGUCUGAGGUGCCAAACAUCUUCAGACGCUGCUGUUUGACGGUUAGAGAAGUAGACUGCUUCCUCUUUAUUCUUCAACGUAUAGAGACCAAUUACUGCGAGGCCCCUUUGACACCACUUUCUCCUUUAGUAGAUCAAUUACAUACACGUGAGUGGCAUCAAAAAAUACUCCAUAAUUGUAGUCAUCACACAGACAUUUUACAGUCAAGGCCACAAACACAUGACCUAACAAGACAUAAAAGUAUCAGAAUUGGACCAUUCUCUAUCAAAGAACCGAGUAAGUAACAGUCAAGGACUCAAGGUUACCUCUUCACUGUCUCAUUGCAUGUUUGAAUCUCCUGACCUUGAACUUUCUACUCUUGAGCUGCUCACUGUUUUUCUGACAUCUUCAGUGGCAAUCUCAUCAGUAUCUUGGAUGGUACCUACAAUUUAAAAUGCAAGUUAAUCUAAGAAUCAUUUAACUAUAAAUCUGUUUGUGUAAAAUUUUAAAACUACCUUCAAAUUCUACAUGUUGUCAUUAGCAGAGGCGUUAUCUAAGGUGAGGGAAAACACUCUUCUCUCUAACCCCAACUCCUUUAGGAUAUCAAAAAUCUUCUUGGCUAUUGCUUCACCGGUAUGUGGAGGUUUGACAUCACAAAAUGCAAGGAUGUGACUAUGUAGCUUCCACUUCUCGUCAAUAUAAUGAGCAGUCAGACAUAUGUAACCCCUAACUUGGCUACGACUCGUCCAUAGAUCAGAAGUGAAACUCAUUCUACCCUGGUAACUUGCAAACAUUUCUUUCAGCUUAAGCUUCUCUAUUUCAUAUCUCUUGUACACCUCCCUACUUGCGGUUUGUCUACACAUAUGCUCACACUCUGGAUUAAGAUACUUAUCUCUCUCUCUAACCUUUUCAUACUCCACAUAACGAAAAGGAAGAUCAUGAUAAAUAAUAAUCUCAGACACCAUUUCCUUAUCAACUUUGGGAUCAUAUUCAACGACUUUGGUUUCUGGUUUUUCUGGACAAGAGCGUGAAUGGCGGUUCAUUGUUGAAGUUCCAUGAUUCCUAUCUAUGACUAACUUAAUACCGCAGUAGUGACACUUAGCCCUUUCUUUACCAUCAGACGCUACGCCUACCGAUGUAAAGUGUAGCCAACACUUAGAAGUUUUUUUACGUACUUGUGUAGGCCGUUUAGCUCUUGGAGCUCGUGGAGCUAGUGAAGAUCGUGAAGCUCGUGAAGCUUGUGGAGCUCGUGGAGAUCGUGAAGCUUGUGGAGCUCGUGGGGAUCAUGGAGAUCGUGUGUAUCUCUUUGGACGUUGAGUAUGUGUUGACUGAGCAGGUUCAUUGACACUAAGAUCAUGUUCCUCUUCUUGGGAGUCUUCAUCUUCAUUAUACUCCAAGUCCAUCAAUUCGUUUUCUGCCUCAAGAACUGCCAUUCUUUGUAUUGUUUGUGAGUCCAUGCUGCAGCCUGCAACAAAAGAUAAACAAACAGUCAAUCAGGGAAGUUCAAACAAAGCUACAAACUGUUUCAAACAAGUGCUUAGUUGACUAACAUCAAGUUCACAAAAUACAAUCUCAAUUCUACAAACCCACCCUAGAGAUCGAUUUCAGCAAACCCACAAAAAAGCUAAGCCAUUAAGCUUUAAAAAGCCAUUAAACAAGUGACAAAGUGUUGACAAACAGCAAGUUCACACACGCAAACAUUCAAAUGGGUUCUUUGAAGCAAAAACUAAGAGAACACGCUAGUCACACGCAAACUGAGAGAACACAAGCAAGAUCUUCAGUUCUUUAACUUACACGUAUGAUACAAAGCAAGAAAGGGACUAAACACAAUCAUUACAUGGCUAAUAAGAACAAACCCACAAAUCUCAAUUCUACAACAAUCCAUCAGUUCAAAAAGCUUUAUUUCAACAAACCCACAAACUCUAGAGAUCGAAAGAUGUGAUGACUUACAAAUAUUGAAAAUGUUCGAGCUUCCCAAUAGCUUUUCUAAAACGGAUUGAUCCUCCUAAGCAGCCUGCAAUAAACGGAAAGGUCACACGAUUUAUGAAUUAUGAUGACUCUAGAGAUCGAUUUCAACAAACCCAGAACAAAACUAGAAGAACAUACCCGACGAAGCUCUUCGAAAUCGAUCUCUAGGGUUUGUUGAAAUCGAUCCAGGACCAGGAGCAGCAGAGCUUGAUGAGGACGUACGAGAUCACGAUCAAGAGCUCGAAUCGGAAUCCGCAGAGAAGCAGUCGAGCAUCGAUUCGUUGACUGGUUUCUCUUUCUCGUUUCUGAGAUGGUGAGAAGAAAAAUGGAAACGACGAUGUUUCUCUGUUUGCUGCAAAAAAAAUUAACCCUAAUAAAAUCCAAAUACCAAAGAUAAGCGGCCCUAUUUUGGCCCGGAUAGUAAAGUGCGGGUUUAGGGCUAAUAUUUUUAAUGCGGGCUGGGCUAACCCUUUUCCUAGAAGCCCAUUUUAACAUCCCUGUAUAUGAUUCUCAUUUCUCACAUUCUGUGACUUGCUACAAGUUCCUCCCUCCUUACCCUGGAAGCACCUAAUUGUAUAACACCUAAUGAAAAUAUCAAAAAUAUUGCCUCGCUAAUUUUGCAAAACACCUAACGAACUUCAAAAUUGUACAAACACAUGAAAUUCAAAAUGUUUUUUUUUUCAUCGCCUGGUUUGAACUUUAUUUUCCCCUUGAAGACCAAAAUUCAAUUCUAUUUCAUUUUUGCAUUUUUGUCCACGAUUGUACUCAAAUGGAAUCUGUCUUGUAUAUAGGGGUGUGGAAGGAAUAAAGGCACAACAUAUUUUUUCUUUCAUAGAUACAUAAUUAGUUAUCUUCAUCACAAUUCACACGGUAAUCAUUCAGAGCUAGUGGCCUAUACAAAUUCCGUUUAUUACAGUACAGCUUGGACGCGAAUGAAGUAUACCAGAUUGUAUGAACAAAAACAGCUAAGAGAUGAUGGGUACUUGAAAAGAAUCUCAUUUUCUACACAUUCAAAGCUUGCAUUUCCAGGUUACGAUAGAAACUCCACAGAUUAGAGGGAAGCUUUACUUUUACUUUUUUUCUUUCUUUCUUUUGUUGUUGUUUUCUUCUGUACCUGAAGAGUUGAGGAUGGUGUGUAUGCAUGAUACAUGUCUUG
rnacentral:lncRNA from 1 species